rnacentral:lncRNA from 1 species
UGAAAAAUGACUGCUUCAAGGAGCAGGUGGCGGGCACUGGGGCAGGAGAGAGAGAAAGGAGGUGGGGGGAAGAAGGGAAGGGCGGGGGGACCUGUCCAGGAGGGAGGUUCAUGCUUCUCCCAGGAGACCCUCAACACAGGCUCCUCUUCCCAACACACACACAUGUGCACACACACACCACACUCCUCACACACACCAUAGUCCUCACACACACAAACACACCACAGUCCUCAACACACACUCCUCAGACACACAUAUACCAUAGUCCUCACACACACACACCACAGUCCUCAAAUACACACACGCACACUACACGUCUCAGACACACACACACCACAGUCCUCAAAUACACACACCACACUCCUCAGACACACACACACACCAUAGUCCUCACACACACACCACAGUCCUCAAAUACACACACACACCACACUCUUAACACGCACAAACACACCACACUCCUCGCACACACAAACACCAUAGUCCCCAAAUAUACACACCACACUCUUCACACACACAAACACACCACAGUCCUCAAACACACACACCACACUCCUCACACACAAACACACCACACUCCUCACACACACAAACACACCACAGUCCUCAAAUACACACACACAUCCCACAC